CCUACGGGUGGCAGCAGUAGGGAAUCUUCCACAAUGGGCGAAAGCCUGAUGGAGCAACGCCGCGUGGGUGAAGAAGGUCUUCGGAUCGUAAAACCCUGUUGUUAGAGAAGAAAGUGCGUGAGAGUAACUGUUCACGUUUCGACGGUAUCUAACCAGAAAGCCACGGCUAACUACGUGCCAGCAGCCGCGGUAAUACGUAGGUGGCAAGCGUUAUCCGGAUUUAUUGGGCGUAAAGGGAACGCAGGCGGUCUUUUAAGUCUGAUGUGAAAGCCUUCGGCUUAACCGGAGUAGUGCAUUGGAAACUGGGAGACGUGAGUGAAGAAGAGGAGAGUGGAAGUCCAUGUGUAGCGGUGAAAUGCGUAGAUAUAUGGAAGAACACCAGUGGCGAAAGCGGCUCUCUGGUCUGUAACUGACGCUGAGGUUCGAAAGCGUGGGGAGCAAACAGGAUUAGAUACCCUUGUAGUC
rnacentral:rRNA from 1 species